rnacentral:rRNA from 1 species
UACGAAGGUCCCAAGCGUUGUUCGGAUUUACUGGGCGUAAAGAGUACGUAGGCGGUGAGGUAAGUCAGAUGUGAAAGCCCAGGGCUCAACCUUGGAACUGCAUCCGAUACUGCCUCACUUGAGUAAUGGAGGGGCAUCUGGAAUUCACGGUGUAGCAGUGAAAUGCGUAGAUAUCGUGAGGAACACUAGUGGCGAAGGCGAGAUGCUGGACAUUUACUGACGCUGAGGUACGAAGGCCAGGGUAGCGAAAAGG